GACUGAUACAGUUAACGUUCAAUUACUUAUAGCAGUAUUUCUCCCUUCAGGGUUUUUGAACCUGCUGGAUGGAAAGAAGAAUAGUGAAUAUAAACCACCUGAGGCGGGACAAGGAAAAAGUACCGAAAUGACCGUGAAUGGAGAAGAUAAUUAAACUCUGAAUUCAGCUGACACACAAAAAUGUUGUGGUAGAAAAAAAAUAGCUCUGCUUCUGUAAAAUAUCUGCAUGGUUUGGUCAAGAAACAAACUUCUACAUGAGGACUUUUCAUCAUCUCACCUUUUGCAAGAACAGUCUCUUUUCUUUUUUUUCACAGACAUGAGCGGUAAACUUUGUAUGAAUGUGGAAUUAUAAUUUUUUUUAAAAGCCUAGUUUUUCUUUUCAAUAUUAUUCCCCUGCGUUUAAUUGCUGCACUGUGUCCACACUGCGGGAUUUCUCUUUUUAUCCAGUUAUCCACACUGUUUGCUUAUAAUGAGUUGUUUUUGGCAAUCUGUAUUAUCUGCAUUGAUUGCUUUAGUGAUGAUAUAGACUUGGUGUGGCAUCUUCACCUUAAAAGUGUCAUUCAGAAGCAUGCCGGUGGUAUGACAGAAGCUUACUGGUACGUACCAGCUUCCUCCUUUGAUCUGUGAUGACACUGGUGUCCACCAGAAAGAGAAACAAACUAAAUAUGUUCAUUGACGGUGGUCACUUCAGGCGUAUUCAGCUCUAUGAAGCAGUCACAGCCAUACUACUAGUGAGA